CACACCGCACAGAGACUACCGCCUCCUGAGCUGUCGCUGGGGUGGCCCAGUCCACCAUCGGUCGCAGUCACCACUGCGCCACUCUGAGUGACCCAUUCUGUCACGCUGCACUGUUACUCGCCUCCGUCCUUUAAGGAGCAGACCUCGGCUAGGGUAUUUUACAAAGCCUGCAUGUGAGUCAGUGUGCUUGAACUUUGUCUGCUUCCAAUUUGCUUCCAUGUGAAUUUCUGAAGUUUAUUUUUACUAUUGUAAGAAAUGAAGGAUGUUCUCGGUCCAUAUUCUUUCUGGCUGCCUCCAGAAAAGAUUAUUAUACCAUCUAGCAUUAGUUUCCUGAAGUAGAUUUUAUUUCAGUCUCAUUUUACCAGAAGUGCAACAUAUCCAGCCACUCCUGCAAAUUUGAUGGUUUUAACGAUUUCCAUAACUGUUAUAUUUUAAUUGCA
rnacentral:lncRNA from 1 species